GAAUGAACAGGAUCCCGCCAG
rnacentral:misc_RNA from 1 species